rnacentral:rRNA from 1 species
UACGGAGGAUGCGAGCGUUAUCCGGAUUUAUUGGGUUUAAAGGGUGCGUAGGCGGGCUUUUAAGUCAGCGGUAAAAAUUCGGGGCUCAACCCCGUCCGGCCGUUGAAACUGGGGGCCUUGAGUGGGCGAGAAGAAGGCGGAAUGCGUGGUGUAGCGGUGAAAUGCAUAGAUAUCACGCAGAACCCCGAUUGCGAAGGCAGCCUUCCGGCGCCCUACUGACGCUGAGGCACGAAAGCGUGGGGAGCGAACAGG